GCUGGAUUCGCUAGUAAUCGCGCAUCAGCCACGGCGCGGUGAAUACGUUCCCGGGCCUUGUACACACCGCCCGUCAAGCCAUGGAAGCCGGGAGUGCCUGAAGUGCGUGAGCGCAAGCAGCGCCCUAAGGUAAAACCGGUGACUGGGGCUAAGUCGUAACAAGGUAUC
rnacentral:rRNA from 1 species